UGACCCUACGGGACGCAGCAGUUAGGAAUAUUCGUCAAUGGGGGAAACCCUGAACGAGCAAUGCCGCGUGAAGGAUGACGGUCCUAUGGAUUGUAAACUUCUGUUGUUAGGGAAGAACGACCUAAGUAGGAAAUGACUUAGGAGUGACGGUACCUUUCAAGAAAGCUCCGGCUAACUACGUGCCAGCAGCCGCGGUAAUACGUAGGGAGCGAGCGUUAUCCGGAUUUAUUGGGUUUAAAGGGAGCGUAGAUGGGUUGUUAAGUCAGUUGUGAAAGUUUGCGGCUCAACCGUAAAAUUGCAAUUGA
rnacentral:rRNA from 1 species